GACGUAGGAUGCGAGCGUUAUUCGGAUUUAUUGGGCGUAAAGCGUGCGUAGGCGGCUGUUUAAGUCUGGUGUUAAAGCUAGGGGCUCAACCCCUGUGGUGCAUCGGAUACUGGGCAGCUUGAGUGCGGUAGGGGAAGGUGGAAUUCCUGGUGUAGCGGUGAAAUGCGCAGAUAUCAGGAGGAACACCGGUGGCGAAGGCGGGUCUCUGGGCCGUAACUGACGCUGAGGAGCGAAAGCAUGGGGAGCGAACAGG
rnacentral:rRNA from 1 species